GGGGCUGGGGCUCAGAGGUAGAGCACUUGUCUAGCAUGCAGGAGGCCCUGGGUCCGAUCCUCAGCACCA
rnacentral:tRNA from 1 species